rnacentral:rRNA from 1 species
CUAAAAUUCUAGCCAGUUAACCCUAACUACCAAAAAACAAAACAAACCAUUUAAUCUAAUAGUAUGGGCGAUAGAAAUUUAUUAUGCGCAAUAAAAAAGUACCGCAGGGGAAAGAUGAAAUAAAAAUGAAAUAAAUAAUAAAACAAAGAAAAGAAAAGACUAAACCCUAUACCUUUUGCAUAAUGGUCUAGUAAGUCCAACCUAACAAAAAGAAAUAAAGUUAGCCACCCCGAAACUAGACGAGCUACUCAAAAGCAGCAUUAACCAGGGCCAACCCCUCUCUGUGGCAAAAGAGUGGGACGACUUUUAAGUAGAGGUGAAAAGCCUAACGAGCCUAGUGAUAGCUGGUUGCUUGAGAAAUGAAUAUUAGUUCAGCUUAAAGUACUUUCAACUAAUGAAAAAAUAAAAAUAGCACUUUAAAGUUAAUUAAUAGGGGUACAGCCCUAUUAAUAAAGGACACAACCUACAUAAUGAAUAAAGAUUAUAUUAACAAAAGAAACUAACCAUGUAGGCCUAAAAGCAGCCACCAUAAGAAAGCGUCAAAGCUCAACUUAACUAAUCCCCUUAUUAUACCAAUAAAAAAAUCUAAAUUCACAAAUAUAUCAAGCCUAUCUACUAGUAGAUGAGUUUAUACUAGAAUGAGUAACAAGAACAAAUUCUAUACAUGCAAGCGUAAAUCAGGGCGAAAAAAUCACUGAUAAUUAACAAUUUUAAAUACUAAACAACAAGAAAGGCACAUUAAAGUAAUUGUUAACCCAACACAGGAGCAUCAAAAAAGAUUUAAAGAUUAAAAAGGAACUCGGCAACCAAGAGCUCCGCCUGUUUACCAAAAACAUCGCCUCUUGCCCUCCAAGUAUAAGAGGUCCCGCCUGCCCAGUGAUUAAUUUUAACGGCCGCGGUAUCAUGACCGUGCAAAGGUAGCGUAAUCACUUGUCUUUUAAAUAAAGACCUGUAUGAAAGGCAAAACGAAAGCUCAACUGUCUCUUUAAUCUAAUCAGU